CUAGACAGACGGUAUAAUAUGGAGAAAGAGAAACUUUACAAGAUACGUUUACUACAGGCUCGAAGAAAUCGAGAAAUAGCAAUUUUGCACCGCAAGAUUGAUGAAGUCCCUAGCCGUGCCGAGCUAAUACAGUAUCAGAAGAGAUUUAUUGAACUCUACCGCCAGAUUUCAGCAGUGCACAAAGAAACCAAGCAGUUCUUCACUUUAUAUAAUACCCUGGAUGAUAAAAAGGUUUAUUUGGAAAAAGAGAUUAGUCUGCUGAACUCAAUUCAUGAGAACUUCUCACAGUAAGUACUGUCAGUCCUCCUUCCCACUAAUACCCUGCCAGCCUGCGCUUUGAAUUCAGCCCACCUCACAUUGCUAUAAUGUGCUUGACAAAGGUACAUGCAAGACUUAACGCUGGGUAUGUGAUUCUUACUCUUUUAGCCCUUCUGCUAAGUAUCUUGUUUACACUCUCCUUGAGUACCUGCAAAACUA
rnacentral:sRNA from 1 species